ensembl:lncRNA
CGUAGUUUGGAGUGUGUCCUCUGGGAUCAGACCUCCUGGGUUUGAAGCCCAGCUUGAUUGCUUCCUAGUGGGACAAUCUUGGGCAGUUUGGGGACUGACUUCACUUAACAGCCUUCUGACAUUAUAUCCAGGGACAGUUUAAUAUAAAGGAUUGUUAACUAGUAGAAGGGGCUUAGCUGCUAAAGGGAGUAAAAGGCUAAAAGGCAUCUAAGGGGUACCAAAGGCCCAGCCACUACCUCUUGGCUGAAAGGAGGGGACAAUAAAGGAACUAAGGGCAAGGAUGGGAGUCAGUCCUCUUCAGAGAAGCCAUUGCUACCUCAGGAACCUGCAGCCUGCUGGUGGGACAAGACUUGCAGAAGGUAGGGCCAGAGCUGGUCUGCAGAAGCAGCGCCCAGAGAGGAGAGUGUGGCCGGAGAUGCGGCUGGGACUCCAAGCUGGCCUCUGGGCUCCUGCUCUGAAUAACUAUGGAGGACCAGGACCUGUAAGGGAGGGUCUUCCUGGGGCUGCAGCCUUGCAGUGUCCCUCUGGUGCCCUCUGUUGACAUAGCCUAACAUUCUGCCAGCUCCAGCCAUGAGGCAAGGCAAAGAAGGGUGGGUUUGGGGCUGGGACACAAUACAUUGAUAACUGGCAGUGAUUUAUCCUUUAUGCCUUAUGUUCAUCUGGAAACGGGAGAUAAUAAUUUUACACACCCCCCCCCCCACAUACAAAGAAUUAUCACAUAGACUUAUUGUAAAAAGUAAAUGAAUUAAUGCGUGUAAGUGCUUAGACCCAUAGCUAGUGCAGUCUCGGUCGGCUAUUCCAAUUGGCUCUAAUUUAUUACCUCCUACCGGGCCCAUGUCAUGAGCUGAUAUCCAGGGAAGAGCGGGACCCUGCCUCUGCCCGCAUGGAGCCGCAUCUUUAGUGCCUUUAGUUACAUGGUCAGAUUUCAGAUGCUUCCUAGUUUGUAUUUUAAGGACUAAUACUAUCCUGAAGCCUAGCUUUAAGAAUUUGAAGAACUUCUUAGCAUAAUGUAACCAUUUUUCUUUUGGUCUAACUCUUUUUAGCAGAGAAGGAUGCAUGAUAUUUUUCUCUGUGGUUCCUUAAAAAGAGAAAUCACUGCCAAAUAAUGAAUUCCUUCACCCAAUAUUUAUUAACUGCCUACUAUGGGUCAGACAGGAUUCUAGGUCCUGGGGAUGCAGAAGUGAACAAGAAAAGACAAAACGAAAUUUCUAUCUUCAUAGGGCUUAGAUUCUAGGUGGCGGCUGGGGGAGAUGGACGACAGACAAAAUAAAUAGAAAUAGGGUAUAAGUGAUAAGUACUAUGGAGAAAAAGAAAACUGGGAAUGAGGAUAAACUUGAUUCUCUUCCUCAAGUCUCAUUACUUAAAAAGAAUUAUGUGUGUGUCUGUUGUGUUUUGGUGCCAGUUCCAUGUAUAUUCUGUGAUUCCGAAUCAGUUGUGGAAACUAGAAACGCCAGGAUCCCAGGAGAGCCUGUGUGGGGAAAAUUUUCCCUUUGAUUUUGAUAAAAUUUGAGUUAGGUUCUUUUUUUUUUUAAUCUUCCCCUCAUAAUGUAAACAUAUUUGCCUCAGUCAAUUCAGAUUCAUUGUACCAAGUUGCACAUCUAUGUACUCAGUAGGCGAGAGAGUCCUUUCUCUAUUGGCAAUAGCCUUAAUUCUCUCUUAAGUGCCAGAUUGGUGGUAAUUCUCUCUGGUGAGUUGCUAAACCCAAUCUUUUUCAUCUGUAUGUCUGAAUGUCAACAUCUCCUUAAAUCUGAGUCGGACCUCUGUGUUAAAUUCUUUUUAAAAAUUCUUCCUUAUUUAAAUAUUCAUGGGAAUGGCUGAUCUCCAACCUAUGAAAUAAAAGUAGAAGUUUUAGACAAAUCUCUUCCAUUUAAUUUUCCCAUUCCAAAGACUUUAGAAACAAGUCUGAAAAUUAUAGGAACCACAAAUUUUAAAAAAAGUGUUAGUUUGAUAUGUCUGAAAUUAAUGCUUUAAUUUAUUCACCACAGAAUGUCUUCACACAUCGCUGUUUUUUGUAAUUUAUACCAUACACUGUCUACUCAAGUUAAUGUGUGAAGCAUGGUUAAAUUAUGCCUAAAAAGGAAUAUGAAAACUCUCUACAAUAUGGUCACGGGAAAAGGGUCUAACAAGGAGUAAUGGGGCAAAAUUUAAAUAAGAGAAAUUGAAAUAGAAGUUUCAGAAAAACUGUCAGGUAUUGAAGAUUCGCCUAACUGGAAUAAGCUCCUCAGAAAAAGACUUAAAAACUUUUAGAGGGCCAGCCUGGUGGCGCAGCAGUUAAGUUCCCAUGUUCCACUUCGGCAACCCUGGGUUUGCUGGUUCGGAUCCCGGGUGCGGACAUGGCACCACGUGGCAAGCCAUGCUGUGGCAGGCGUCCCACAUAUAAAGUGGAGGAAGAUGGGCAUGGAUGUUAGCUCAGGGCCAGUCUUCCUCAGCAAAAAGAGGAGGAUUGGCGGUAGAUGUUAGCUCAGGGCUAAUCUUCCUCAAAAAUAAAUAAAUAAAUAAAAAAUAAAAAUAAAGUGAGGCAUAUUAAAAAUUAAAAAAAAAACUUUUAGAGCAGUCGACUGGAAAUGGAUUAGACAAAGUUCUAGAAAAUAUUUCUAUAGGGAAUGCAUAAUUGUACGUGUGGUCUAACCAGUAGACCACAUAAUCUAAUGAGCUUUUGUGUGUUUUCAAUCUUUUGUUAAUCAUAUCAAAGGAGGUUUGGGAUAAAGAUCAAAUGAACAAUUCCAUAGAAAAGAGACAUAUUUUGUCAAUAUGAUGUCGUUUGUUCUUUUCCCCAUUGUGUAUCACAUGCUGACAGGACUUUCGUUCCUCUUCUUGUGGCUAAUUUAAUGCUGUAAAGGAUGCCAGACUGAUAGCUCGGGAGAUUGCUGUCUGUUCUACACGUUCCUGACCUUGUACUUCAGUCUCAUUCUAAAGGAGUCCGGGCGAGAACUGUAAAGGCAGGAUGGUCACUGUGUGAUACAGUUUUGUUUUCUUUUUGAGAUUAAUAAUACAGUCCUAAUGAGUGUUUUUAAAUGUUAGCAAUUUGGAGGUUGCAUUCAUUAAUUCACUGAAACUCCUACCUGUGUGUGAAACCCUUGCUUGUAGGUUUUAGGCCGUGUAGGAAAUACAGAUCUCUGAGAGACUGCUCCUGCCUUCAAUGAGUGUACAGUUCGGUGAGCUGCUAAAAUGAGUAAGAGCUGCUCUUUACAUGGGCCAUCACUUCUAAAACUCUGAACCCAAAACGGGAAAUGGAGUUCGGAGAUGUGAGGCAUGAGGGGGUGGGGAGAGGGGAUGUGCAAGAGGAGGUUGCCACGCUGGGUGAGUGUAGGUUUAUUUCCCUCUGUGAUGAUUAAUAGACUUGUUUUUUCUCUUGUACUAGGAUUCUCCCAAGAAACAGAACCAAUAAGAGAUGGACAGGUCUAGAUAAAAAGAUGUGUUUGAGGAACUGGCUCACAUGAUUACAGAGACUGAGAAGUCCCACGAUCUGCAUCUAAAAGCCGGAGACCCAGCAAAGCCGAUGUGUAAUUCCUGUCUGAGUCCAAAGGCCUAACAACCAGAGGAGCUGAUGGUGUAAAUCCUCGUCCAAGGGCAGGAGAAGACCGAGGUCCCAGCUCAACCUGGCAGCCAGGCUAGAGCAUGUCAGCGAGAGGCACCCUUGCGCCCAAGUGAUGGAGCGAUCCUUAUUCUCCAGUCAGUUGCAGUCAGAAUUGUUUUGAUUCAAGGAAACUCCUUAGUAAACACCCUGCUGGAUAAACUCCAUCUCAGAGUCUAUCGCCCAGGCAACCCAACCUGUGACAACAAUUGAAUAACAUCUUUAAGUACUGAAAUAUAUAAAACUAUCAACCCAGGAUUCUGUAUACAGCAAAACUGUCUUUCGGAAAUGAAGGCAAAUAAAGAUAUUUUCAGAUAAACAAAAGCUGAGAAUAUGUAUCACCAGCAGACUUGUGCUGUAAGAAAUACUAAAGGGAAUUAAGUGGAAGGGGAAUGACACCAGAUGGUAACUUGGAUUCAAUGGAAGGAAUAAAGAAUGCAAGAAAUGGCAAAUAUUUGGGUAAAUAUAAGAGUAUGUACACAUUUUCUUGAAAAAUCAUAUGAUUGUAUAAUGCAAAUUAUAACACUGUGUUGUGGGGUUUAUAACAUAAGCAGAUGUAAAUAUGAGUAAAACCUCAUAAAGUUUGG